rnacentral:rRNA from 1 species
AGGCCUGUCCAAUGCGGUGAAAGAAGUUUUCGUUCGUCUGUAUAAAGAAGACCUGAUUUACCGUGGCAAACGCCUGGUAAACUGGGAUCCGAAACUGCGCACCGCUAUCUCUGACCUGGAAGUCGAAAACCGCGAAUCGAAAGGUUCGAUGUGGCACAUCCGCUAUCCGCUGGCUGACGGUGCGAAAACCGCAGACGGUAAAGAUUAUCUGGUGGUCGCGACUACCCGUCCAGAAACCCUGCUGGGCGAUACUGGCGUAGCCGUUAACCCGGAAGAUCCGCGUUACAAAGAUCUGAUUGGCAAAUAUGUCAUUCUGCCGCUGGUUAACCGUCGUAUUCCGAUCGUUGGCGACGAACACGCCGACAUGGAAAAAGGCACCGGCUGCGUGAAAAUCACUCCGGCGCACGACUUUAACGACUAUGAAGUGGGGUAACGUCACGCCCUGCCGAUGAUCAACAUCCCUGACUUUUGACGGCGAUAUCCGUGAAAGCGCCCAGNUGUUCGAUACCAAAGGUAACGAAUCUGACGUUUAUCCCAGCGAAAUCCCUGCAGAAGUUCCAGAAACUGGAGC